rnacentral:rRNA from 1 species
GACGAACGCUGGCGGCGUGCUUAACACAUGCAAGUCGAACGGAAAGGCCCUGCUUUUGUGGGGUGCUCGAGUGGCGAACGGGUGAGUAACACGUGAGUAACCUGCCCUUGACUUUGGGAUAACUUCAGGAAACUGGGGCUAAUACCGGAUAGGAGCUCCUGCUGCAUGGUGGGGGUUGGAAAGUUUCGGCGGUUGGGGAUGGACUCGCGGCUUAUCAGCUUGUUGGUGGGGUAGUGGCUUACCAAGGCUUUGACGGGUAGCCGGCCUGAGAGGGUGACCGGCAACAUUGGGACAGAGAUACGGCCCAGGCUCCUACGGGAGACAGCAGUGGGGAAUAUUGCACAAUGGGCGGAAGCCUGAUGCAGCAACGCCGCGUGCGGGAUGACGGCCUUCGGGUUGUAAACCGCUUUCGCCUGUGACGAAGCGUGAGUGACGGUAAUGGGUAAAGAAGCACCGGCUAACUACGUG